rnacentral:rRNA from 1 species
CCUACUACAUGGAUAACUGUGGUAAUUCUAGAGCUAAUACAUGCUAAAAAUCCCGACUUCGGAAGGGAUGUAUUUAUUAGAUUAAAAACCAAUGCCCUUCGGGGCUCUCUGGUGAUUCAUAAUAACUGCUCGAAUCGCAUGGCCUUGCGCCGGCGAUGGCUCAUUCAAAUUUCUGCCCUAUCAACUUUCGACGGCUGGGUCUUGGCCAGCCAUGGUGACAACGGGUAACGGAGGGUUAGGGCUCGACCCCGGAGAAGGAGCCUGAGAGACGGCUACUACAUCCAAGGAAGGCAGCAGGCGCGCAAAUUACCCAAUCCCAAUUCGGGGAGGUAGUGACAAUAAAUACUGAUACAGGGCUCUUUUGGGUCUUGUAAUCGGAAUGAGAACAAUUUAAAUCCCUUAACGAGGAACAAUUGGAGGGCAAGUCUGGUGCCAGCAGCCGCGGUAAUUCCAGCUCCAAUAGCGUAUAUUAAAGUUGUUGCAGUUAAAAAGCUCGUAGUUGAACCUUGGGCCUGGCUGGCCGGUCCGCCUCACCGCGUGCACUGGUCCGGCCGGGCCUUUCCCUCUGGGGAGCCGCAUGCCCUUCACUGGGCGUGUCGGGGAACCAGGACUUUUACUGUGAAAAAAUUAGAGUGUUCAAAGCAGGCCUAUGCUCGAAUACAUUAGCAUGGAAUAAUAGAAUAGGACGUGUGGUUCUAUUUUGUUGGUUUCUAGGACCGCCGUAAUGAUUAAUAGGGACAGUCGGGGGCGUCAGUAUUCAAUUGUCAGAGGUGAAAUUCUUGGAUUUAUUGAAGACUAACUGCUGCGAAAGCGUUCGCCAAGGAUGUUUUCAUUAAUCAGGAACGAAAGUUAGGGGAUCGAAGACGAUCAGAUACCGUCGUAGUCUUAACCAUAAACUAUGCCGACUCGG